ensembl:lncRNA
CUUCUACGUGUCAAGGUGCCCGUUUUUCCUUCUUCUCCCUUAUGUUUAUUUUAUGACCUUUUUUAUCCACAACACCAUCCCAUAUGGACAUCCGCCUCUGUCUGCAUUAUGUUCAGUGCCUUGGAGAUUGGGCGCAUGGUUGCAACAUAUUCAGUCAAGAAAGCAAGUUCUGCAGGUCUGAACCUGUCACACAGUAAUCGUGCCAUAGCAAGAAACAGGGAGUUCCACCCGGUGUCAUUUGGGCGGAUGAGUUGGAGCUUGCAUUCCUUUUCAAUCAGCUCCGCAGCUAUGGUGGAGCGAGCACUUAGCACUUAGCAAAU